rnacentral:rRNA from 1 species
CCUACGUGUGGCUGCAGUAGUGAAUCUUCCACAAUGGACGCAAGUCUGAUGGAGCAACGCCGCGUGAGUGACGAAGGGUUUCGGCUCGUCAAGCUCUAUUAGCAGUGAAGAAAGAUACGGGUAGUAACUGGCCUUCAUUUGCCGGUAAUUACUUAGCAAGUGCCGGCUAACAAAGUGCAAGCAGCCGCGAGAAUACGUAGGUGGCAAGCGUUGUCCGGAUGGAUUGGGGGUAAAGCGAGUGCAGGCGGUUCAAUAAGUCUGAUGUGAAAGCCUUCGUCUCAACCGGAGAAUUGCAUGGGAAACUGUUGAACUAGAGUGCAGAAGAGGAGAGUGGAACUCCAUGUGUAGCGGUGGAAUGCGUAGAUAUAUGGAAGAACACCAGUGGCGAAGGCGGCUCUCUGGUCUGCAACUGACGCUGAGGCUCGAAAGCAUGGGUAGCGAACAGGAUUAGAUACCCUUGUAGUC